AGUUAAGAUCUAGAUGCAAUAUGUGUGCUCCUAUUGAGUACUGAGCUAAUGUAGCUGACCCAGCUGGGUGAGCAGAUGUCCCCUUUGUCCCUUAGCAUGCUGUGUUUGUCUUUCCUGAUGCUUGUAAGACAACUUCCAGAUAGAGGGAGGAAGGCUAAUUGCUCAAGGCUGUUUGAAUAGUUGGGCUACCUUGCUAGAGUGCCCCCAACAGAUUGGAGCUGAAAGGGACUAAAAGAGGGCUAUCCAGUCAGAGGCAGCUGGCCUCUUCU
rnacentral:snRNA from 14 species